GAUGAACGCUGACAGAAUGCUUAACACAUGCAAGUCUUUGGCGAAGCUGUGCUUGCACAGCCUAGCCAAGGCGGACGGGUGAGUAACGCGUAAGGAACUUGCCCUGCAGUCAGGGAUAACAGACGGAAACGACUGAUGAGACCUGGUAAAGUCAGGCGGACUCAUGUCCAGCCUGAUGAAAAGAGAUGCUGCAGGAGAGCCUUGCGUCCUAUUAGCUUGUUGGUGGGGUAACGGCCCACCAAGGCGAUGAUAGGUAGCCGGCCUGAGAGGGUGGACGGCCACAAGGGGACUGAGGUACGGCCCUUACUCCUACGGGAGGCAGCAGUGGGGAAUAUUGGACAAUGGGGGCAACCCUGAUCCAGCAAUUCUGUGUGCACGAUGAAGGUUUUCGGAUUGUAAAGUGCUUUCAGCAGGGAGGAAAAAAAUGACGGUACCUGCAGAAGAAGCGACGGCUAAAUACGUG
rnacentral:rRNA from 1 species